GCCCGGCUAGCUCAAUCGGUAGAGCGUGAGACUCUUAAUCUCAAGGUUGUGGGUUCGACCCGUAAGCGCUUAUUCGAUCCUUCUCAGGCAUGAUCAUUGCAACUAACACAUACUAGCCACGUCGGGCUCA